rnacentral:rRNA from 1 species
AGUGAACGCUGGCGGUAGGCCUAACACAUGCAAGUCGAACGGCAGCACAGUAAGAGCUUGCUCUUACGGGUGGCGAGUGGCGGACGGGUGAGGAAUACAUCGGAAUCUACUUUUUCGUGGGGGAUAACGUAGGGAAACUUACGCUAAUACCGCAUACGACCUACGGGUGAAAGCAGGGGAUCUUCGGACCUUGCGCGAUUGAAUGAGCCGAUGUCGGAUUAGCUAGUUGGCGGGGUAAAGGCCCACCAAGGCGACGAUCCGUAGCUGGUCUGAGAGGAUGAUCGGCGACAUUGGAACUGAGACACGGUCCAGACUCCUGCGGGAGGCAGCAGUGGGGAAUAUGGGACAAUGGGCGCAAGCAUGAUCCAGCCAUACCGCGUGGGUGAAGAAGGCCUUCGGGUUGUAAAGCCCUUUUGUUGGGAAAGAAAAGCAGCAGGUUAAUACCCAGCUGUUCUGACGGUACCCAAAGAAUAAGCACCGGCUAACUUCGUG